CGUAGGGUGCGAGCGUUGUCCGGAAUUAUUGGGCGUAAAGAGCUUGUAGGUGGUUUGUCGCGUCUGCUGUGAAAAUCCGGGGCUCAACCCCGGACUUGCAGUGGGUACGGGCAGACUAGAGUGUGGUAGGGGAGACUGGAAUUCCUGGUGUAGCGGUGGAAUGCGCAGAUAUCAGGAGGAACACCGAUGGCGAAGGCAGGUCUCUGGGCCAUUACUGACACUGAGAAGCGAAAAGCAUGGGGAGCGAACAGGAUU
rnacentral:rRNA from 1 species